GUCAGCGCUUUGUAAAGCUGUAAGUUUGCGUUUUCCAACAGCCUCAGGACAGAGGAGUUUACGCUUUAUGGGGAAAAACAGAAAGGCUGGUGAGGGAAGAAUAGCUGCUAUAACGACAUUAUAAUCUCUGUGUGAAAAACCGGAGAAGGCCGUGUCUGUACAGAGCGUGACUGUCUUCUGUCUGGUGUGGGAGACGUCUCCUGAGGGGGCGGUGAGAACCGGCAGCCAUUUGGCGAGCUGGGUAAAAGACAGUGUUGGAGCUUUGUCACAACGGGCCCCUGUACAGGCAAAAGACACUGGAGCGCUACUCACGCUGCCUUUCCAAAUAAAGUAUUUGCACGUGCACACUC